UACGAAGGGGGCUAGCGUUGCUCGGAAUCACUGGGCGUAAAGGGUGCGUAGGCGGGUCUUUAAGUCAGGGGUGAAAUCCUGGAGCUCAACUCCAGAACUGCCUUUGAUACUGAGGGUCUUGAGUCCGGGAGAGGUGAGUGGAACUGCGAGUGUAGAGGUGAAAAUUCGUAGAUAUUCGCAAGAACACCAGUGGCGAAGGCGGCUCACUGGCCCGGUACUGACGCUGAGGCACGAAAGCGUGGGGAGCAAACAGG
rnacentral:rRNA from 1 species